UCCAAUAGAGCGGCUGAGAUGGUUAGAGCGCCGCUAACUGUCAAUCAAGCGCUUUGUUUAAAGAAGCAGCUCCAAGACUCCGCCCCCUCCACAAAACUCAUCUGAUAAAACACACGAGAGACAGAGGAAUCAAAGACAUCGACUACACAGCACUCCGUUACCGCUGGAGCAACACCACAAAUCCCACAGCACACCUCCAGCUCUCUCUUCAUCAAAGCACGCAAACAAUAGUAGCUGGAAAGGAUCGAGAGGAAUAUAGUACCCUCGCAACAGAACAAUGAACACGGGCUGAUUUCUCAGGACCACACUGGCAAAGCAUUAGCACAGGGUUUAAAGGAUGCUCUCAUAAAUUUGAAACUGGAAAAUCUUCUGUGCAUAACGACAGAUAAUAGAGCCAACAUUGUAAAGUCCACAUCCAUAAAUGACUCGACACGAUUGCAGUGUUUUGGCCACAGGCUUCUUCUCGCAAUAGUUUGUUUGCGGCUGCUGAUGUCUGGACAAUUUCAGGAACUGAGCACAUCUAAAAGCCCAGAAAGGAAAUGAAAAGCUCCUGCUGUUGUAAACACUCGAGAAAGACUUGAAAAAAAAGGACUCAAACAGAAAAAAUUCAUUCUAUGUUAACAAUGUUUUCUUUCUCUCUGGGUUGUGUGCUAUAGUUUUAUUAGCGUGUGACUGAACCAUUGACAGUCUUGUUGAAGUCCGACACUUAUUAUGAUAAAGGAGUCUCUGUUUGAACUCAACAUUGUGCUGUUUGUGUGGCAGUGAGUCAUAGUCUCUCUGGUCUUAAUGCAAGAAGCGUGAAUUUGAAUCAUUUCCGAGCUUUAUGACAGCUCCAUCUGUUAUUUGAGAUUAUCUCUAUUCUAAGCCUGUUUAGUAAAAUUUCUUGAUUCUCUAAAGCCAAGCUUAUUACAAAUUGGCAUGAGUCCAAAAUUUUAGUUGUCAGUGAGUGUCAUCUUUUGUUUAGUCAAACUUUUUUUUUUUUUCCUUUCAAAAAAAUGUCAUUUCAGUUUAGUCAAUAUUUUUUUUUAGUUUUUGUAAAUUGAACACUGAAUGCACUAUAAUUUUAGUGUCUAAAAAAAUAAAAUGUGUGGUAGGCCUAGUGAAAAACCUGUCAAAACUUAACACCAAAGUACAAACUUUUACUGAAAAAUGUAUAAAAAAGUUAAUUUAAACAUGCACUAAACAAAUGAAAGAUUUUAAUAUCAAUAAAAUAUAGUAGUUUUGAAAACCAGCUGUUAUUUUAGCUCAUCUACUGUUUAGAAGUUACUGUGGUGUGAAUUCUUCAAGCUAUACUGUUAUGAUUUUUAAAGCGCACAUUUAAUAGCAUUAUACUGAUAUAUUUUCAUGUCAUGUUGUCAUUCGCAGACUUUUAACUUCUUCAGCAAUCCCAAAGACUGUAUGGAAAACACCCAUUAUGAUGAUUGAACAAUUUUAAUUUAAUUUGUCAGUGAUUUCACUGAAAUGUGAAAUUUCAGUGAAAUUUCACUAAAGUGAAAUUUCACAAUUCUUGAUAAUUGUUGUGACCUUACUGUGAUACAUUGAAAUUAUCCAAAUGCUUUGAGUGUCCUAAUGUUCUCAUUCUGUAUGUUCAACAGUUUUUCGUACAACGCUCCCAAAAUAAUAGAAACCCUACCUGGUCUCAUGGCAUAAAUGUACCUGGGUGCACUUUUUAGCGAUAUGAGUCCCGAUUAAUAAAGUGUAAUUUUUGCACAGUUACUUGAAGAAUAUCAUGUUAUGACUUAAAAAAAACAAUAUUAAUAUGCUGGGAGAUUUGAAAACUGAUGCUUUUGAAUGUUGGCAUCACACAUAUUCAGCUUCAUAUCUAUGGGUUUUCAUAGAUGGUAGGUUUGUUUGGUAGCUCACGGAGACAGACUUAACCACAGUUUGACAAAGCAGUCCAAAUCUGCAUAUAAGGAAGUUCAGAUGGCACGGUUGCAUCAACAAAUGCAAUUUUAUAUCAGUUUUGGAUUUGUUUACACUAUCGGGUAGGUUUAGGGUUGGGUUUGGUGUAGGGCAUAUCCAACAUGAUAGAGCAUUAACUUUUAGCGACAGUCCCCGGAUAUUUGAAUUCUGAACCACGCAAUAUGUACCAGAAGCAACAUAAUAAAAACACAGCAAUACGUACCUAUAUCAACAACAUAAAUAUGUGCCAGGGUUCACGGAUUGAACCAAUGUUUUAGUGCCAAUCAGUGGACAUUUUUCUUUGAAACUGUGGCGAAACGUGCAGUAAGGUAUGUAAAACGGUGUUGCACAAAAAGUGCACAGAGGUAUGUAUUUUUAUGAGACCAGGUAUAAACCACAGUUAAAUUGCACAAAGUUCCCUUUAAGAUUUUGUAUAUUGAGGAAGGGGGAAGUAGGGGGAAGUUGUGGCCUAGUGGUUAGAGAGUUUGACUCCUAACUCUAAGGUUGUGGGUUCAAGUCUCGGGCCGGCAA